rnacentral:lncRNA from 1 species
UUUAGCAUUAGCAUUUUUUUAAUUUUCCUUUUUUGUUGCAUAGGAAAUGCAGAAUUUGCUUCCAGUAAUUGUAUUGUAAUGUGAGAGGUGGCAGCAUUAAUGGAUGAAUACAAGAUUUAUACUAAUCCACACCAGCUGAAAAAACCUGCAGAGAUUUAGUUGUAUAAGAAUAGAUGCCCAACAGUGAUUCUCAACCAAUUACAAAUUUUCACAGAACACAGUAAAAAAUAACAUAACUAUGAAAAUCAAUACAAGGUACUAGAGUCACAAUGAGCCUGAUUCAUAAAACAGAGACUUUAUUAACACAGGCACAAGGGAUCUUAAAAAACACCCAUUAUGGGGCAAUUAAUUACUUAAACACAAAAAUAAAGGUUUAUGUGGUCAAGUAGCAGCUUGGGUACUGCACUUUGUUCAGUGAAGAGCUUAGGGUUGUGAGAAAUAAAAUUAGAAUAGAAAGGGGGAAAAAAAAGUCAAUAAAACUAGUGAAAGAAUUAUGCGUUUUCCCACGAUUAGCCAAAAGCUUUCACCUAGUAAUUUACCCAUCUGUACUGAUUCAUCGAAUCCCAGAGCCCACCUUUAAUGGUGCCUAAGCUACUAGAACAAAAGAGGUGAAUGAAAGGUAUUCAAAAUGAGUUGCCCUAAUGUAAUAUUUAACAUAAUUUGCACUGUGCCUGUUAAUGGACUGCAAUGCACAUUAAAAAAAAAAAGUCAUUUAAAACAACGUAAUGCAUGAUAUGCCCGUAUUUAUGGAAAUACCAACAUUGAAAUUUUAUGUCCCUUUACAAGUUAACGUUUUGAUUCUCUGAAGGUGAUUGUGGGUCUGGCAUAUAAUGUUGAUCCACUCCUCGUUUAAAUAAAGAUAAAAAUGAUUAUAAAAAUACCCCAAAAAUAAAAAAGAAAAAUUCUCAAAGUUAGGUUUAAAGGCUUCAUAAAAGGUAUAUUCAAGACCCAAGGUUAAAAAAAAAGAAACGACAAAAAAAUAAUAAUAAUUCCUUAUGCCAUACACUGGUACAAUACAAAGUUUUCUAGAGAACUGUUGUUCUAUAGACAGACACCCAAACCUAUUCAAUUUGUAGUGCUGUUUUAUUUACAGGUUUUGCAUAGUCGGGUGUUAAGGUUUGGUGUAUGUGUAAAUUUGAAUCUACUGAACUGUACUUGUAGUGUGCACAAAUACACAUGGUCACAUAUUUCAUGAAUCAGGCCCAAGAUUGUAUACAAUUUAUUGAAAGGAAAAAAAUAAUAAUAUUUAUUUAUCAUGAAAUUGUGCAUAAAACUAACUAAAAACAGCCACAUUUUUGUAUAUUUUCUUUUUAGUAUGAGGAGGUCUGGUGUAAAGGGAGGGGUAAACAUUGGUUAUCUGUUUAUUUCAUUUUUGUGAUUUAUCCAGACUAAAAACAACUGCAGAACCCCUCAUAAGAAUGCACGAGUGUUAGGAUUUAAGUUCUCCUAUUAAAAACAUAAAAUUGAAACAAACAGAUAGUAAAUUCGAAAUGCUUACCGUCGGGGGAGGAGGACCCAAGAAAAGUUAAAAACAAAAAAAAGAAUAAAAAAACAAAACAAAAAAACAACAAUGUAUGUAAUACUGUGUAUACCUCUGAAAUACUGAAAACACCCCCUUCCAAAAACAAACCAAAUAAAUGGAAAAAAAGUAAAAAAUAAAAAAUUUGCAUUCUUGGCGACAUACCUUUAAACCUAUCUAACAAGAACCAAGUCAGGAAAAAAAAAUUCUAACGUAAUUUGAGUAAUAUUUUAUACAACUCGCUAAGCGAUAUGGAACAGCAUGCAAUAUUACUGUAUGGUUAUUUUACAUCCGUUACAUCAGAGGAAUCUGACAGACAGCAAAGGCUACUGGUGUAAAAAAAAUCUUAUUUCAGAAGAGCGAUAUAAUACAGAUUUCACAGGCACUACUGUUUUUUUUUUUCAAUUAUUAUAUAUCAGGUAUUAUGCUGGUUUUCAUAUAAUUCUUUCUGUCCUAAAGCUGGCAUUUAUAACACUGACCGAAAAAAGGCAAGGAUUGAAAGAAAUGAGAAUUAAAAAAAAAAAGUAGCCAUAGUACGUAGGUUUAUUUAUUUUUCCUUCGGAUAGAUUAGUGCAUAGUUCACAUGCAGAUAACCACUGCUAUGGAUUAUAUUGUUGGAAAGCAGAAUGAAUUGAGCCCAACUUAUUACAGAUGUGUCCAUCAAAUUGCCAGGCUGAAUUUAGCACCAUGUCUUGGCUUAGCAUCAAACAUUAAAUCAGUUUCAGAAUAGAUGACACACAGUUCAGGGUUACGGAUUAGCCUCAAUGUUACCUACUCUGCAGAAAAGCAAUUUUCCUCCCACCAAUUCAUUAAUAGGCGAAAAAAAAAUCAAAAAAAAAAUCAUAGAAAUGUGAAAUAUGCAUCUUACUGUUGUACACCCUUGGUACUACUAAGAAGCGUAAAUGCCAGGUUACUAAGGGUUUGCACUCAAAACAGACUUCAACAACAUCAAGAGGGCCGGCCAAUCUACGGCUAUCCAGUUUCCAGCGGCCUUUAAACAAUAUCACCCUUCGCCAUUAACUUGUUGAAGACGAUGGAAGUUGGACUAAAUUAGUAGGUUGGACACAGUUUCCUGCUAAGAAGUCCCAAUAGAGGAAUCUAUGCUAACAUCAAAAGACUUAAUCUCGCAAUGAUAACUCACGACGGCUUAAUUUCUAAUGAUGCUCAGCCAUCAUGUUUUUCAUAAACAUCAGAAAAAACAAAAUUAGCCAUCACCGUCCAUUAGUCUCAAGAUGUUUGGAUAGGUUUCAUUGAAGCUCUUCUUACACAGUAAGGCAAAUUGGGAUUUAUUUGUUUUGUUCUAAAAACUAUAAAAUAUAUAUUUUUUUUUUCCAGGGCAAAUUAGAAAAGUAUAAUAAUAAUUAAAAAAAAAACACAGCAAGGACACACAUGAUUAAAUCCAAGCUUUUGUUAAUUUUUACGUUUGUUGUAUAAAAACUACAAAUAAACUGCUUGGGAUCGAUAUUGACGUGGCCUGAAUAAAAAUACUGUGACUAGAGGAGUACUUUACUGUGUGUUGGGUUAAAACAUGUUUAUGCAAAUAUAUGUGUCUUCUCUCAUCAAUGUUGCCCAUUGUCUUUUUAAAAACAACAUAUAAUAACCAAAAUAACUUGUUGGGGUGUGCAGCUAUAUGUAUCUGGCUAAAUCCAACUUUAAUCACUGUUACUACAUUUAAAACAAAGUGCACUUUGGCCUCAUGUAGGAAUAGCCAUGGGUUAUGAAUGGGCCAGACUUGGGGUAAUUUGACAGUAGUCUUUACAUGAGAUCAAGUUUAGGAAUAGUUUGUCAGUGGCAAUCUAGCAAAGACUGGUAUAAGGAAAUGAUGUGCUGCAGGCCUUUAACUGGUCCAUAACAAAAGGGGCCAAGUUAAUUAUAGCUCUUUAAAUGGGUCCAGGAACAAAAACAGCAGGAUCUAGAGCUGGAACAAUCUAUUUGUCUUCAACUGGGCCUGGGAUCAAGAACAGUUUGCCAGCAGGUACUAGCUGGAUCUGUAAACAGGACCAAGUAAACAAUAGUAUCUUUAACUAAGCCUUUGAUCACAAACAGUUUGCCUGUAGGCCUUAGCUGGAAGUUAACUGAUACUCUCAGCCAAUGUGCUAACCCCUGCAUUGCAACUUUUGGCAAUGUGGACUCCACAGGAGAAGAUAACGAACGAUCCAUGGAAAAUGUAUGGAAUUUUAUCCUAAAUGAAAAUGUCUAAAUUGAUCCUAAGCUGCACACCCUGCAUAUUUGUGCAUUUGUCAUGUAAUUUAAAAGGAAGGUAUUUUUUUUGUUAAUUAAAAAAAAAAAAAAAUGCCCAUCUUAUUUUAAAUCUAACAACCUUUUCUAAUAUUUUAAUAGCUGUAGUAGCACCCAAGAAUAACCCCCUUCUCUACUAUUGUGGACAUUUUAUGAUACAUUUUAAAAAAAUGUUUGCAUAGGUCUCUUAUGUCCUUCUUCUGAUGGGUCCUCCCAAUCACUAAACUGCCUCUAUGGUUGCACCACAUAUGGAAGAAAUUAAUUGGCAUACAGGUGCAUAGUGCAUAAUUCAUCUGAUCUCUGAGUAAAGAGUUAUAAAAUACCACUGUGGGCAACUAGCUCCACCCAUGAGGAACAACCCAGCGUUUAUUUCUCUGUAUAACAGAGAACAGGAGAAGCAGGUAAGCAGGUACAUCAGCUAAACUACUGCAAUAGGAAAUACAAGAAAUUGUCCGUAGAACUAAUUAAUUGUGGACAUGUAGUUUAUAAAUAAAAGUACAUUACUCACUCUUUAACAUUGACAUGCUUAAUUAAUCUUCAUAACUAAAUCUUAGUGACCUGUGCAUUCUAGGCAUUUGAGAAACGUUCAACAAGCAGGUGUGAAGCCUUGUAACUCAAUAUUUUCGAUUGCCUAUAUGAUAAAAUAAAGACUUUAUAUAACGCAUUUUUAUGAUCUGCAAAU